rnacentral:rRNA from 1 species
CCUACGGGUGGCAGCAGUGAGGAAUAUUGGUCAAUGGGCGCAAGCCUGAACCAGCCAAGUCGCGUGAGGGAAGACGGCCCUACGGGUUGUAAACCUCUUUUGCCGGGGAGCAAGCCUGAGCACGUGUGCCUAGGCGGAGAGUACCCGGAGAAAAAGCAUGGGCUAACCCCGUGCCAGCAGCCGCGGUAAUACGAGGGAUGCGAGGGUUAUCCGGAUUUAUUGGGUUUAAAGGGGGCGCAGGCGGGCUGUUAAGCCGUCGGUAAAAAUUCAGGGCUCAACCUUGUCUGGCCGUCGAAACUGGCAGCCUUGAGUCCGCGGAAAGCAGGCGGAAUUAGUGGUGUAGCGGUGAAAUGCUUAGAUAUGACGAAGAACCCCGAUUGCGAAGGCAGCUUGCUGCAGCGGCACUGACGCUGAUGCUCGAAAGCGCGGGUAUCGAACAGGAUUAGAUACCCUAGUAGUC